rnacentral:rRNA from 1 species
UACGUAGGGUGCAAGCGUUAAUCGGAAUUACUGGGCGUAAAGCGUGCGCAGGCGGUUGUGCAAGACAGAUGUGAAAUCCCCGGGCUUAACCUGGGAACUGGGUUUGAAACUGGGAGGCUAGAGUGUGGAAGAGGGGGGUGGAAUUCCAGGUGUAGCAGUGAAAUGCGUAGAGAUCUGGAGGAACACCGAUGGCGAAGGCAGCCCCCUGGGCUAACACUGACGCUCAUGCACGAAAGCGUGGGGAGCAAACAGG